UUACACAUGCAAGUCGAGCGGAGANGAGGNGCUUGCACCUUAUCUUAGCGGCGGACGGGUGAGUAAUGCUUAGGAAUCUGCCUAUUAGUGGGGGACAACAUUCCGAAAGGAAUGCUAAUACCGCAUACGUCCUACGGGAGAAAGCAGGGGAUCUUCGGACCUUGCGCUAAUAGAUGAGCCUAAGUCGGAUUAGCUAGUUGGUGGGGUAAAGGCCUACCAAGGCGACGAUCUGUAGCGGGUCUGAGAGGAUGAUCCGCCACACUGGGACUGAGACACGGCCCAGACUCCUACGGGAGGCAGCAGUGGGGAAUAUUGGACAAUGGGGGGAACCCUGAUCCAGCCAUGCCGCGUGUGUGAAGAAGGCCUUAUGGUUGUAAAGCACUUUAAGCGAGGAGGAGGCUACUGAGACUAAUACUCUUGGAUAGUGGACGUUACUCGCAGAAUAAGCACCGGCUAACUCUGUGCCAGCAGCCGCGGUAAUACAGAGGGUGCGAGCGUUAAUCGGAUUUACUGGGCGUAAAGCGUGCGUAGGCGGCUUUUUAAGUCGGAUGUGAAAUCCNCCGAGCUUAACUUGGGAAUUGCAUUCGAUACUGGGAAGCUAGAGUAUGGGAGAGGAUGGUAGAAUUCCAGGUGUAGCGGUGAAAUGCGUAGAGAUCUGGAGGAAUACCGAUGGCGAAGGCAG
rnacentral:rRNA from 1 species